AGAGUUUGAUCCUGGCUCAGAACGAACGCUGGCGGCGUGCCUAACACAUGCAAGUCGAGCGCGAAAGUUUCUCUUCGGAGAAGCGAGUAGAGCGGCAGACGGGUGAGUAACACGUGGAUAACCUACCCCAAAGCGGGGGAUAACCACUCGAAAGGGUGGCUAAUACCGCAUAAGACCACGUCCUUGCGAGGAUGUGGUAAAAGGCUUCGGCCACUUUGGGAGGGGUCCGCGGUCGAUUAGCUAGUUGGUGAGGUAAUGGCUUACCAAGGCGACGAUCGAUAGCUGGUCUGAGAGGAUGAUCAGCCACACUGGUACUGAGACACGGACCAGACUCCUACGGGAGGCAGCAGUGGGGAAUAUUGCGCAAUGGACGAAAGUCUGACGCAGCAACGCCGCGUGGGUGAAGAAGGUUUUCGGAUCGUAAAGCCCUGUCAGAUGGGAAGAAACCUGCUAGUCAGCUGACGGUACCAUCAAAGGAAGCACCGGCUAACUCCGUGCCAGCAGCCGCGGUAAUACGGAGGGUGCAAGCGUUGUUCGGAAUUACUGGGCGUAAAGGGCGCGUAGGCGGCCUGUCAAAAGUCCGAUGUGAAAGCCCGGGGCUCAACCCCGGAAGUGCAUUGGAAACUGGCAGGCUUGAGUUCGGGAGAGGAGGGCAGAAUUCCUGGUGUAGGGGUGAAAUCCGUAGAUAUCAGGAGGAAAAUCAGUGGCGAAGGCGGCCUUCUGGAACGUAACUGACGCUGAGGCGCGAAAGCGUGGGGAGCAAACAGGAUUAGAGACCCUGGUAGUCCACGCCGUAAACGAUGGAUACUAGGUGUAGGGCUCAUUGACGAGCUCUGUGCCGUAGCUAACGCGAUAAGUAUCCCGCCUGGGGAGUACGGUCGCAAGACUAAAACUCAAAGGAAUUGACGGGGGCCUGCACAAGCGGUGGAGUAUGUGGUUUAAUUCGACACAACGCGCAGAACCUUACCUGGGUUUGACAUCCCUUGAUCGCCAUAGAGAUAUGGUUUCCUCUUCGGAGGCAAGGUGACAGGUGCUGCAUGGCUGUCGUCAGCUCGUGUCGUGAGAUGUUGGGUUUAAGUCCCGCAACGAGCGCAACCCCUGUCCUAUGUUGCCAUCACGUAAUGGUGGGCACUCUUAGGAGACUGCCGGUGUCAAACCGGAGGAAGGUGGGGAUGACGUCAAGUCCUCAUGGCCCUUAUGCCCAGGGCUACACACGUACUACAAUGGCCGGUACAAAGAGGCGCUAACCCGCGAGGGCACGCAAAUCUCAAAAAGCCGGUCUCAGUUCGGAUUGGAGUCUGCAACUCGACUCCAUGAAGGCGGAAUCGCUAGUAAUCGCGGAUCAGCAUGCCGCGGUGAAUCCGUUCCCGGGCCUUGUACACACCGCCCGUCACACCAUGAGAGUCGCUUGUACCAGAAGUGCGUAGGCUAACCCUUCGGGGAGGCAGCGUACCAAGGUAUGGGUGGUAAUUGGGGUGAAGUCGUAACAAGGUAACC
rnacentral:rRNA from 1 species